UGGGGAAUAUUGCACAAUGGGCGCAAGCCUGAUGCAGCGACGCCGCGUGAGGGAUGACGGCCUUCGGGUUGUAAACCUCUGUUAGCAUCGAAGAAGCGAAAGUGACGGUAGGUGCAGAGAAAGCGCCGGCUAACUACGUGCCAGCAGCCGCGGUAAUACGUAGGGCGCGAGCGUUGUCCGGAAUUAUUGGGCGUAAAGAGCUUGUAGGCGGUUGGUCGCGUCUGCUGUGAAAGGCCGGGGCUUAACUCCGGUUUUGCAGUGGGUACGGGCUAACUAGAGUGCAGUAGGGGAGACUGGAAUUCCUGGUGUAGCGGUGGAAUGCACAGAUAUCAGGAGGAACACCGAUGGCGAAGGCAGGUCUCUGGGCUGUAACUGACGCUGAGAAGCGAAAGCAUGGGGAGCGAACAGGAUUAGAUACCCCGGUAGUCCAUGCCGUAACGUUGGGCACUAGGUGUGGGGGACAUUCCACGUUUUCCGCGCCGUAGCUAACGCAUUAAGUGCCCCGCCUGGGGAGUACGGCCGCAAGGCUA
rnacentral:rRNA from 1 species